AGCAAGCAGGAGUUGGAAGAGGUGUUUUAUUGGAGGGUGGGAGAAAUGAACUGGAAAAAAAAACAAAAAAAAAAACAAACCUUGGGGGAAGCAAUGUGCUGUGGCAACAGGGUGGAAAAAAAGCAGUUAAAUCUGUGCAGAACAUUUUCUUCUUGAAGACUUUACCAGCUGGCAAGAACCAAGGAAUGGUUUUCCUCCCUCCUAUGUGAUAGAAGAAACGAGUAUCUCCAUGUUCAGACGUGGCAAGCGAGUGCCCUUGAGCGCCCAGAGGAGACCACAACCUCUUACUCAGGGGCAGCUUCUGGCAGGGUGUGCUGCCAGGGGAGCUUCUGCAGGGUGCCAGUACCAUCAUCUAAGCCUUGCAGAGGAUCUUCAGCCCCCGUACCCCAAAGACAGAUGGUGACUGAGUUCAGGGCAGCUGGCUCACGACCAAUCCCCAGCAGAGUAAGCCCCAAGCAGCAUUCCCUGUGUUCUGAGCAGCAAGCAGAUGGGGAAGUUGGGCCAGAAUGACCCUGUUGGCUACACAACGCUAUCAUAAAGUACCGUCAAGGCUUGCAACCCCUCUUCA